AGGUGAGAAAAAUCAAUAUGGUUCUGACAAAUGCAUGUAAAUUCUGCACCUGCAGACUAUCAGUAAUAUCUUUGGUGGUUUGCGUGACACUGUGCUCUGCAGAUGUUUACAUCUUGGGGCCCCUUAAGUCAAAUUUCAAGCCUCUCUUUUAGCAGAUCGGGGAGCCUGCUUCCUGUUUGAACCCCAGAUGGUUGACUGGAAUGUAAAGCCAUUAGAUGGUGCAGUUGUGGGGAUGAGAGAGGGGGGCACUAGCCUGUACGCUGACGUCAAUAAAAACAGUCAUUUCCAACCAGUCUGCGCAUUGACCGACCAUUCAAAAACAUUACGCACCGCACCGCGGCCGGACCACGCUCGAUUACUCGACUGAAAUAACCUUUUUUUUUUUCUCUUUUUUUUUUUUUUUCGCAGAUCCUUGGAGAGCGGACGCAGUGCGGACGAUCCCACCAUUGCAGGUGGAAGAGGAGCAUCUUGGAGGAGAAUCAUUCUGCUGAUCACCGUCAAACUGCUCUACGCUUUUAGCCUCUUUACGGUGCUGCCUUGUCUAAUAAUGUUCAAGCAGCAUUGUACAGGGCUAUGACAGCGUAGAGAGCUGAGCUGCGCUGCGCACCCAACAUUUGCUGCCAACCAGAGCCGGCCAGGAGCAGAAGCGAAAUCAGCCGCUGCUGCCCCUAAAACCUCUUUUACUUCUAGUACAGAUGAUAAGAAUCUGCUUAUUUGUAAAAAAAAAAAAAAAAAGUGAGUCUGCUUGAAAUAGUUGUCCCUUUGUAAAUUAAGUAUCUUAUAGUUAAUGUCUGUAAACCUUUGAUGACCAAAACUGUAUUUUUUUUUUCCUGCAUUUUUCACAAAGUACACUGUGUGAAAAUGUAGACUUUGCGUUUCCCUUAUUAUUGGGACAGAUGGUCUUUAAUGCAUGAUAUGUUCAGCAAAAGUAUAAAACGGUUAAUAAAAAUAAACAUAAUGUAUUUAAAUUUUCUUA